AUUGCUAUAUACUUGUCAGUAGGGCUGCAGGAUAUGAGGAAAUUAUCUAAUUGCGAUUACUUUGACUUUGCAUUUGCUAUAUGAUUCACGAUAUUGAAGAGAAUGGUCAUUUUUGUAUCAUUAUUCUCAUUUUCAUUGA